rnacentral:rRNA from 1 species
GACGUAGGGCGCGAGCGUUGUCCGGAAUUAUUGGGCGUAAAGAGCUCGUAGGCGGCUUGUUGCGUCGACUGUGAAAACCCACGGCUCAACCGUGUGGUCUGCAGUCGAUACGGGCAGGCUAGAGUUCGGUAGGGGAGACUGGAAUUCCUGGUGUAGCGGUGAAAUGCGCAGAUAUCAGGAAGAACACCUAUGGCGAAGGCAGCUCUCUGGGACGGUACUGACGCUGAGACGCGAAAGCGUGGGGAGCGAACAGG